rnacentral:rRNA from 1 species
UGCGAACUCCUACGGGAGGCAGCAGUAGGGAAUCUUCGGCAAUGGACGAAAGUCUGACCGAGCAACGCCGCGUGAGUGAAGAAGGUUUUCGGAUCGUAAAACUCUGUUGUUAGAGAAGAACAAGGACGUUAGUAACUGAACGUCCCCUGACGGUAUCUAACCAGAAAGCCACGGCUAACUACGUGCCAGCAGCCGCGGUAAUACGUAGGUGGCAAGCGUUGUCCGGAAUUAUUGGGCGUAAAGAGCGCGCAGGUGGUUAAUUAAGUCUGAUGUGAAAGCCCACGGCUUAACCGUGGAGGGUCAUUGGAAACUGGUUGACUUGAGUGCAGAAGAGGGAAGUGGAAUUCCAUGUGUAGCGGUGAAAUGCGUAGAGAUAUGGAGGAACACCAGUGGCGAAGGCGGCUUCCUGGUCUGCAACUGACACUGAGGCGCGAAAGCGUGGGGAGCAAACAGGAUUAGAAACCCGGGUAGUCCAGAUG